rnacentral:misc_RNA from 1 species
ACAAACUCUAUCUUUUCCCCUUAUUAUCCUUUACUGCUACCACCCUAGUUUCCCAAAUACCCCAGCCUAUCUUCCCCAUUUAUUCUUCUCUAUUGAUGCCAUCCUAGGGUCCUAAUACCCUAUGUCUUCUUCUCAUUUCUUUCUUCCUUUCUUCUCCUUCACUUCUUCUUUGCCACUGAGUGGGUAGCCAUUUUAAGAAAGCUCUGGCUUCCAAAUGGAACUGAAUCUGUCCAAAGGUAAACUGAUUCUGUCAAGAUCGAGCUUUCAAAGCAAGAUUGUUCCAACCCAGUCGUUUCUUCUCCUCUGCUCACUGCCACUGUAAGCCACAAUCAACAGUUGGAGUCACAGCACAACAAAGCAGCCAACACCUCUCUUUCUUUUUCCUCUAUUUUUUAAUAUUGUCACUUUGAGUCUAAUGUAAUAUUCGUGUAUCAAUUGUGUUAAACAAUUUUUUGUUGUUAUUAUCAUCAAUUCUGUGUUUAUGGACAUUUGAUAUUAUCAAUUUGUAAUUUUUGUUGUGAUUUUUUUACUUGUUGAUUUUGAGCAUAUUAUAGAUUUGAAAAACCGAA